AAAGGAAUUGACGGGGGCCCGCACAAGCAGUGGAGUAUGUGGUUUAAUUCGACGCAACGCGAAAAACCUUACCAGGUCUUGACAUCCGACUAACGAAGCAGAGAUGCAUAAGGUGCCCUUCGGGGAAAGUCGAGACAGGUGGUGCAUGGUUGUCGUCAGCUCGUGUCGUGAGAUGUUGGGUUAAGUCCCGCAACGAGCGCAACCCUUGUUGUUAGUUGCUACGCAAGAGCACUCUAACAAGACUGCCGUUGACAAAACGGAGGAAGGUGGGGAUGACGUCAAAUCAUCAUGCCCUUUAUGACCUGGGCUACACACGUACUACAAUGGCGGCUAACAGAGGGGGGCGAAGGCGCGAGCCGGAGCAAAUCCCCAAAAGUCGUCUCAGUUCAGAUUGCAGGCUGCAACUCGCCUGCAUGAAGUCGGAAUUGCUAGUAAUCGCGAAUCAGCAUGUCGCGGUGAAUACGUUCCCGGGCCUUGUACACACCGCCCGU
rnacentral:rRNA from 1 species